rnacentral:lncRNA from 1 species
UUGAAAUCAGAGAAAUAACACCAAUUGAUUAUUUGAUUGGCUCUACACACUUCUCCAUACUUUUUUAUUAUUGGUGUGAGUGUUGUUUUAGUUAGAUGAGAUUUAUUAGGAGGUAAAGGACACUCUUCGUGGGACAAAUUGUAGAAUCUAAAAGGACACUCUUUGCGGGAUGUAGGGAGUAUAUCUCAUAGACAAUGAACUAUAUGAAUCAGCAGUAACCAUUGUUUGAUCAACUAAAGCAUGACCUAUCAUAUAAGGCUAAUUUAAAUUCUGAUCAAUCAGACAUUUCAUGAUUUGACUAUUUGUAUUUCUAAUUCUGGAGAGUGGAUAUAAGAAACUAUGUCACUAUUAUGAAAACACCCUGAGAGAUGCACAUUUUCUAGAUACCUACUCCCACUCUACUAUGACACCUCUCCAUGCCCUCCAAGCAGCUGGCCUCUAAUUUCUCCUGGAUGUAAGGUUUCUUAGCCUCAUUCGUGGUGUCUCUGUCCACGCGAAACACGCGUGUGCAGAUACAUGUACAGAUGCACUAUCGCUUUCCUGACAUAGAGUCCUGAUCCGUCCAUAGAACCAUCUGUGUCCUCGUGGUCCACGGGAGGAUAGCUAAGGCCUUAUUAAUUAACGGUAGCUUACUGAUAGUAGCUAAGAAACACACUAUAUAAUAACCUUCGUCAAGAAUGCAGAACCCAUCUAAGCAAAGCGCACAAAACAACAGAUAGGAUUGAACAACAAUGGCAACUCAGGCCACGCCCAUUGUAGUGCCCACCGAUGCUGAACUGCUGCAGGCACAGGCCGACCUAUGGCGCCACAGCCUCUACUACCUCAAAUCCAUGGCACUGAAGUGUGCCGUGGAGCUCGGCAUACCUACAGCCAUCUACCGCCUAGGCGGUAGUGCCUCGAUUCCUGACCUGAUCACCGCACUGUCACUGCCCGUAGCUAAGCAACAAUUCCUCAGUCGCCUCAUGAGGCUCCUUGCCUCAUCCGGUGUCUUCAGCGUGGUUGACUCCACUGAGGCUACCUACUCCCUCACCCCAUUGUCAUACCUCCUGGUUGACGGCAUUGAAGCCGAUGACCAUAUCAACCAUGCACCUUUCCUGCUCACUGUAACCGCGACACACUACAUUGACCUAGCAAUGGGGCUAGCUCACUGGUUCAAGCAGGAUGCCAAGAAACCACCCUUUGAUCAUGUGCACGGAGCAUCGCUGUUUGAGGAGAGCAUGGAGCGCAAGCAUCCUGAGUUCCACAAGAUGGCAAUGCAAGGUUUAAUUGUCCAUGACAAUUUCGGAACGAACAUUGCGCUGCGGGAGUUGAGUGACAUAUACCAGGGGAUAAAUUCAUUGACUGACUGUUGCUACCAUGGGGACGGAAUGACGGCAAAGGCCAUUGUCAAGGCCUUUCCACACAUGAAGGUCACUGUGCUAGACCUUCCACAAGAGAUUCGAAAAAUACCAACUGAUGGUGUUGUUAACUAUGUUGGAGGUGACAUGUUCAAGUCCAUCCCACGUGCUCAAGUGGUGCUGCUUAAGGUAUGAGUGCAAUAACAGUUUCAUUGCAAAAAAAUCAGUUGACACAUUAAUUUAAUUAGACAAAAAAAUUGAAAUAGACUGGUCAAUGUACUAGCAUCUUUCAUUUAUAGAAAAAUCAUCAAUAUUAUUGGUAUCUAUACUGUAUAAGAUGAACUUAGCUAAACGCUACAUUUUCGUGAUCUCACCUAACGUUAUUGAACUUUUCCAUUGCAGAUGGUGCUGCAUCACUGGAGUGAUGAGGACUGCGUGAAGAUCCUCGCCAAUUGCAAGAAGGCAAUAGCUUCACGAGAAGAGGGAGGAAAAGUUUUGAUUGGAGAUAUAGUUCUCGACCCUGCUUCAGAACCUGUAAUGUUUGAGACCCAUCUCUUGAUGGACGUCUGCAUGAUGCUUAUGAAAGGAGGCCGGCAACGCGACUUAAAUGACUGGCGUGACAUCUUCAUCAAAGCAGGGUUCAGCGACUUCAAGCUUGUCAAGAAAUUUGGAGCUCGAGGUGUCUUGGAGGCCUACCCGUAAGAUUUCUCCUGGACAUUCUUAUAUUGCGGUUGGGCACCAUAAACCUAUAGUGAAUAAAUAAAAAGAGUGCCAUAAUUUUCGAACUAUCGUUUCACGGAACAUGAUCAAGCAGCUUGUUGCUGAGGUUACAAAGCUGGUUUGCUUCAUGAUCUGUAUACUUUCAUUUCGAAAAGUAUAUCUACAAUCUACAACUUGCUCAUAUAUUGUAUGUGUAUGGUAUUGAUAUCCACCAACUGGAGUUGGAUGUGUGUAAUGCCCCUGUUUGCCCCUGUUUCUCAGAAAAGCAACCAUUGUACACUACGGGAAAUAUAAUAUGCAUAAUGGUUGCUCUCCCACCUUCAUGAGGACAGCCUAUUGGAUGACUCGCAUCGGGUGCCAUCAAAGAACCCAUUAACUACUAUAUUCAUGGACUGGAAGGAAAUGAGGCAAUCAUCUAGCUACUACGUUUUUGGGUGCCUUGAUACAAAGCGCCUUCAUGCUAUUAUAUAGGCACUUACCAUAAGUACCAGUAAACAAUUAACUCAUACAUCUCGUAGCCAAUGAACUAUGAAUCAGCAGAAAAUCAUUAUUUUGUUUGAUCAACUAAAGCGCACGACCUGUGACGUUUGGCACUUAGCCCAAGCAUUACACCGAUAUGUGAUUUAGGUAAUACUCCCACAGUACAUUAUGCAUAACCAACACCUUAAAUUUUGUACAAUCAGACUUUUCGUGAUUUGAUCACUAUUUGUAUAAACUUAUGUCACUAUCAUGAAAACACCUCAGAGAUGCACAUUUUCUUGGUACCUGCUCCCACUCUACUAUAACACCUCUCCGUCCCAUCCAAGCAGUUGGCCUCUUAUUUCUUUUUGGUGUAUGUUUCUCAGCCUCGUUCAUGGUGUCUACCUCCAUGCGAAACACGGGUUCAAAUAAGUGUGCAGGUGCAGUAUCUAUGAAAUAAAGGCAGCAAGUUCUCCCAGUUCACAAGAGAAAAUAUCGUUUAUAAUUAUGGUAAUAAAAUAAUGUAGGUCUCAGGACAAACAACCAUAUGUACUCGCACUUACAAAUGUGAUUGCUUCUUGUAAUCCCAAAUUAGUAAUCGUCAGUGCAUGACUUAAAUUAGUAAACAAUUAACUCAUACUCCCUCCAUCCCACAAAGAGUUAUUUUAAAAAAUUUCAGACAGUAUAGUAGUGGUGAGAAAUGUAUAUGUUGCCCCUAAUAACUAAUACUAGUUGUCAUUAAAAAUCAUGCGGUGUGUUUAGUUUCUCGAUCCUAAAUAAAUGCACGCAUUGAAAUCAGAGAAAUAACACCAAUUGAUUAUUUGAUUGGCUCUACACACUUCUCCAUACUUUUUUAUUAUUGGUGUGAGUGUUGUUUUAGUUAGAUGAGAUUUAUUAGGAGGUAAAGGACACUCUUCGUGGGACAAAUUGUAGAAUCUAAAAGGACACUCUUUGCGGGAUGUAGGGAGUAUAUCUCAUAGACAAUGAACUAUAUGAAUCAGCAGUAACCAUUGUUUGAUCAACUAAAGCAUGACCUAUCAUAUAAGGCUAAUUUAAAUUCUGAUCAAUCAGACAUUUCAUGAUUUGACUAUUUGUAUUUCUAAUUCUGGAGAGUGGAUAUAAGAAACUAUGUCACUAUUAUGAAAACACCCUGAGAGAUGCACAUUUUCUAGAUACCUACUCCCACUCUACUAUGACACCUCUCCAUGCCCUCCAAGCAGCUGGCCUCUAAUUUCUCCUGGAUGUAAGGUUUCUUAGCCUCAUUCGUGGUGUCUCUGUCCACGCGAAACACGCGUGUGCAGAUACAUGUACAGAUGCACUAUCGCUUUCCUGACAUAGAGUCCUGAUCCGUCCAUAGAACCAUCUGUGUCCUCGUGGUCCACGGGAGGAUAGCUAAGGCCUUAUUAAUUAACGGUAGCUUACUGAUAGUAGCUAAGAAACACACUAUAUAAUAACCUUCGUCAAGAAUGCAGAACCCAUCUAAGCAAAGCGCACAAAACAACAGAUAGGAUUGAACAACAAUGGCAACUCAGGCCACGCCCAUUGUAGUGCCCACCGAUGCUGAACUGCUGCAGGCACAGGCCGACCUAUGGCGCCACAGCCUCUACUACCUCAAAUCCAUGGCACUGAAGUGUGCCGUGGAGCUCGGCAUACCUACAGCCAUCUACCGCCUAGGCGGUAGUGCCUCGAUUCCUGACCUGAUCACCGCACUGUCACUGCCCGUAGCUAAGCAACAAUUCCUCAGUCGCCUCAUGAGGCUCCUUGCCUCAUCCGGUGUCUUCAGCGUGGUUGACUCCACUGAGGCUACCUACUCCCUCACCCCAUUGUCAUACCUCCUGGUUGACGGCAUUGAAGCCGAUGACCAUAUCAACCAUGCACCUUUCCUGCUCACUGUAACCGCGACACACUACAUUGACCUAGCAAUGGGGCUAGCUCACUGGUUCAAGCAGGAUGCCAAGAAACCACCCUUUGAUCAUGUGCACGGAGCAUCGCUGUUUGAGGAGAGCAUGGAGCGCAAGCAUCCUGAGUUCCACAAGAUGGCAAUGCAAGGUUUAAUUGUCCAUGACAAUUUCGGAACGAACAUUGCGCUGCGGGAGUUCAGUGACAUAUUCCAGGGGAUAAAUUCAUUGACUGACUGUUGCUACCAUGGGGACGGAAUGACGGCAAAGGCCAUUGCCAAGGCCUUUCCACACAUGAAGGUCACUGUGCUAGACCUUCCACAAGAGAUUCGAAAAAUACCAACUGAUGGUGUUGUUAACUAUGUUGGAGGUGACAUGUUCAAGUCCAUCCCACGUGCUCAAGUGGUGAUGCUUAAGGUAUGAGUGCAAUAACAGUUUCAUUGCAAAAAAAUCAGUUGACACAUUAAUUUAAUUAGACAAAAAAAUUGAAAUAGACUGGUCAAUGUACUAGCAUCUUUCAUUUAUAGAAAAAUCAUCAAUAUUAUUGGUAUCUAUACUGUAUAAGAUGAACUUAGCUAAACGCUACAUUUUCGUGAU